GUAGGGAAUUUUGCGCAAUGGGGGAAACCCUGACGCAGCGACGCCGCGUGAGUGAUGAAGGCCUUCGGGUUGUAAAGCUCUGUCAAGCUGGACGAACGUCCUUUGGUCUAAUAGGCCGAGGGAGUGACGGUACAGCUGAAGGAAGCACCGGCUAACUCUGUGCCAGCAGCCGCGGUAAUACAGAGGGUGCAAGCGUUAUUCGGAAUUACUGGGCGUAAAGCGCAUGUAGGCGGGGAAAUAAGUCAAUUGUGAAAUCCCGGAGCUUAACUCCGGAAUUGCAGUUGAUACUGUUUUUCUUGAGAUUGGUAGGGGAUAGUAGAAUUCCUGGUGUAGAGGUGAAAUUCGUAGAUAUCAGGAGGAAUACCUGAGGCGAAGGCGGCUAUCUGGACCGAAUCUGACGCUGAGAUGCGAGAGCGUGGGGAGCAAACAGGAUUAGAAACCCCAGUAGUCC
rnacentral:rRNA from 1 species